UACGUAGGGCGCAAGCGUUGUCCGGAAUUAUUGGGCGUAAAGAGCUCGUAGGCGGCUUGUCACGUCGGGUGUGAAAGCCCGGGGCUUAACCCCGGGUCUGCAUUCGAUACGGGCUAGCUAGAGUGUGGUAGGGGAGAUCGGAAUUCCUGGUGUAGCGGUGAAAUGCGCAGAUAUCAGGAGGAACACCGGUGGCGGAGGCGGAUCUCUGGGCCAUUACUGACGCUGAGGAGCGAAAGCGUGGGGAGCGAACAGG
rnacentral:rRNA from 1 species